UAUAAUACCACCUCUAGCUUUUGGCAUGUGUGACAUGAGGAUGGCACAAAUAUCCUAUAUAAAAAGUUUCACUCACAUGCAUCAAUAUAUUCACUCUUACAUGCAUGCACACAUUAAUCUUACACACACAAAUGAUCUUGUAGUUCCAGAUACCUGAGAUCAUCUUUCAAGGUGAGAUGAUAGGCAAGGACGUAUUCCUGUAAAGGAGAAGGUAUCCCAGACCUGUGACAAACUUCAAGCAAUACCAAAGGAUGGAAGAUACACAGACAACUGGAAAGAACUUUGAAUCAAAGACUGGGGAAUGAACUUCAGGAAAAUGGGUCACAAAUUAUUAACGUGUAGUAUAUUCUAUGACAAUCCGCCAAAAGUAGAUGAAAUAAAAGAAGUUUUGCAUUUAUUGGGAUAUAAAGGAGAGUUGACCCCACUAUGUAGACAGUAAGCAUUACAAGACCAAACUGGGAUCA
rnacentral:lncRNA from 1 species